GACGAACGCUGGCGGCGUGCUUAACACAUGCAAGUCGAACGGUGAAGGGGAGCUUGCUCCCCGGAUCAGUGGCGAACGGGUGAGUAACACGUGGGCAACCUGCCCCAGACUUCGGGAUAACGCUUCGAAAGAGGUGCUAAUACCGGAGACGAACUCCUUGGGCAUCCUGUGGGUUGGAAAGUUUUUCGGUCUGGGAUGGGCCCGCGGCCUAUCAGCUUGUUGGGGAGGGAACGGCGCACCAAGGCGACGACGGGUAGCCGGCCUGAGAGGGCGACCGGCCACACUGGGAAUGAGACACGGCCCAGACUCCUACGGGAGGCAGCAGUGGGGAAUAUUGGACAAUGGGGGCAACCCUGAUCCAGCAAUGCCGCGUGUGUGAAGAAGGCCUGAGGGUUGUGAAGCACUAUCGUUGGGGAGGAGGGUUUAUUGGUUAAGAGCUGAUGAACUGGACGUUACCUGAAGAAGAAGCACCGGCUAA
rnacentral:rRNA from 1 species